UCUUGUCUGCCACAAUGUGAGAUAUUCCUUUUCCUCUCUUUUGCCCUCUGCCGUGAUUGUGGGGUCGCUGCAGACAUGUGGAACUGUGAGUCCACUAAACCUCUUUCCUUCACAAAUUACCCAGUCUCAAUUGCCAGACCAUGAGAAGUCGCGUCUGUACCCAAUGUUAUGGCACAUCAUUCAGAGAUCCUGGACAUGAAGGAAGAUGUUGGGACUCCAAGAUGAAAGAACUAACCUCUUCAACACGUUCCAUCCUCUUGGUCAUGCUGACUGGUUCAAGGAUGGACUCUAGGUCCAAG